UUCAUUCAGUUCAUUUAGCAGGGCAUUGACAAGUCUGUCAAAUUGCUGUCCGUUUCAAUGAUUCCUACUUCACACUUGAUGACCAAUAGCCAAGCCCUUAACAGAGUCAAUUGAUGUAGACAAUUGAAAAUAUCUACAAUAAAUCAAUAUACGUAUAUAUAUUUUGAGUGUCUGGCCAUGUUUUCAUGUGUACAAACAGUACAGAUAAAUGACAAUCAGAUUUAGCUUCUAUUUCGGCAGCAAGCCAUGCAAUUUAGCUCAAAUGAAAUUCAACUGCUCGACCGCAAACAGCAAGCGCAAGAAAAUCCAAAUACAGAAAUGCAACGAAUCAUAAAAGAAUACCUUCAACAAACUCUUGGUGAUCUGUGGAAUUAUUUUUGCAUUUUAUGCCUUCCAUUGCAUUGAGAAACAUUAGCUCGAGCUGGACUCAUUUGAAUCAAUUCUUUAGUGCUUUUCCCUAUGCUCACACACAUUCACAGACACACAUACACUCGCAUACACACACACAUACAGAGCCAUUCGAACCACUUCAUAAUCAAAAGCACUCCAGUUUCAAAUAUCUUAAUUUCGGCAAUUGGCAUUCCACAUCAAGAGGAACUCACACAUAAUCUAUUUGACAACUAUCGACUGGCUAAAUAAGUUAUUGUAUAAACAAAGAGAACUAUAUUUAUAUAUAUAUAUACAUAUAUAGAUGGAUUUAUUAAAUGGGAAAAUGCCAA